GUGGGAUUGUGGCUCAGCGGUAGAGCACUCCCCUAGCACGGGCAGGACCCGGGUUCGAUCCUCAGCACCACA
rnacentral:tRNA from 1 species